GUUCAACAAACAGUUAUAUAGGAUUUUCAAUGGCUUCUCACUAAUGCCUGGACUAACACCCACGAGUGAAUAUGAUCCUGCUUAAGCAGAACUGAAAUGAGAAAUUUACUUUUAUUCUAAGCUCUAUUUGCGGUGUGAUGAUUAUCAGUUUCUCCAUUUCAUCCACUGGUUGUGCUCCCUCCAGGUCAAAGAUUGUGAGCAAAACUGAGAGAAAUCAAACUGCUUCUUUUUUUUUUUUUUUUUUUCCCACAUUUUCUAUCCCGAAGUAUCUGCUGAGAGCCCUUCACACAGUAAUAGAAAGGCACAGAAGCCACGCCAGUUGUAGGAGUCCCUGACCAAGAAGUCCUGGUAGACUCAUCAAGGCAGACAGCCACAAGGAAAGCCAUAAUUAUGACCAUAUCCAUAUCUGGAUAGAGUUCCUCACACCUCAUGUCAUCAGCCCGCAGCACAGGUGUCUGCAUUUACGACAGCCACCUGGCUCUUUUUAUAGUAGCUGCAAAGAAAAGGAAUCUCCUGGUGCUUCAGUGAUCUCAUCCGAACUGAGACAUUUCCAGUAAGUCAUAUGGAUGUUGCCCUAGUUUCAUAGGAUCAUCUGAUCCUGAACAGUGCUGCACCGCUUUGGGCAAUCUCAAUUCAUCUCUUUACUAAUCUGGGAAUUUCAUUGCAUUUUCUAUCCACCCCUACAUGAUCUGCUGAUGUCCCAAAGUAGUUCUGUGCAGCACUAUGGAUUUGCACCCAGUUCUCAUUAAAUGCAGGCUUAACCUGUCCCAUCACCCCUGUUUUUGGUCCCCAGGUUUGUGCUGAAGCAGAAGGAUGGGGAGUGAGGGGAGGAGGUGUUUAUCACCAUGUAUCUUCUUGGCACACAAAGGGCUCCAGUCACAGUACCUGGUCUAACUAAUAUCUUUCAUCAUCAGUAAAUUCACCCAAUUUUCCUAUUAUCAUUUUCAAGAAUGUCGACUGGCGGGUGGUGGGUAAUCCUAGACGUGGCAAGGCUGUGACUGCAGCUGAAAUCACAGAGAUGAAAGCUUCAAAGCUAGGUUUAAGCAUUAGAAAACAUUAUUUAAAGAAGAUUAAUCAUCUGUUGUGGGAGGUGGCAUUUUGGAUGAAAAUACAAACACCUUCACCUGCACAGUCAAAACAGCAGCAGGGUCUGAGCAAGCCUGAAGAUGUAGGAAAUGAUUCACCAGGGAAAUGGAUGAGGUUUUCUUCACCUCCUUUUUCUCCUAAGACUCACCCCUUUUCCCCCUCCUGUUCUGAAAAGUGAUCCUCUGCCUUUAAUUUCGGUCACGGCAACUGCUGCCUUGAUCAGGGAUACGAGGCAAACACGCUCAGAAGUUUCUGCAAAGCACUUGGCUUCCCUGCCAGCAUGAUAAUACAAUUACACACCAUAAUGGGGUACGACGGCAUAGCUCCGAUGGCACCGCCAGUACAGCUGUUCCUACCUCCUUUUCCUCAGCCACAGCUGCAAUUACAAUGUCGAAGCACAGUAUGUUGGGCUGCUGAAUUUUCACUUUCCCCUAAUUUCUGCUCAGUGUGUUCUGGUUCUGUUCCUUUCAUGUUUAUUCUUUUUGCUGGAGGGAUUAAUAACAGUGGAGGGUUUGUUCUCAAAAGCAACAUGCCAAGUUUUACUAUAAUAUUUGCAGUUGUAAAAUCAUAUAUUUUUGGAAGAAAUGCGUGGUGUCUUGCUACUUCUCCAUUGUUCUAUCUUACCAUCAAGUAAAUGGAAUACGUAGCACCAGUCACCACUUGAUUACAAAGACUUUUACAUCCUGAAGUGUUAGUAUCCAGCAUUUGCAGAUGGAGAAAAAAAGGAACAGAGGAAAAAAUUGAAUGGACAAGAAGUCUGAACAGAGGAUGUAGCUGAAGUGUCCUCAUUACAAGUUUGUGGAUCUGUCUGCUGGAACACAAUGAUUAAAAGUGUUAUUAAUUCCAGUAGUUUGGGUUGCAGAAAGAUUUUCAGACUAAUAAGAAACUGUCUUUUUAGCUGUGUCCAAAUAUUGGGUCUGAAAUCCACUUUACUAGACUAAGAAAUAAUUUGGACAUACUGGUAUUUUCUAUUGCAUCUAAGUUUCAGCUAGUACUAAUAACAGCAAUGCUGAGACAAACGUAUAAAACAAGACACAAAGUAUGUCUCAAAGAUAAGUAUUCCCCAGGAUACUUCCAUGGUAUCCAGCAGAUCCAGCUCAAAAUCUGAUAGUACUCCAUGCCCAAGAUCUUCAUAUAUUGCACCCACAUGGGUAUUGUAUGGCACUGUUUCUCAAUGGGUUGCCCAGACCCCAUGAGAUAACUUGGUGGUCAAAGAGUCCUCCCAGUCUGCCAUGGACAAAUCUCUUUAAAAUUAAUGUGUAGAAUGUAUAAUUUUCCUCAGAGGGCAGGGAUGCCAGUAGCUCUACCCUGAACGAUAUUAGGAAGACACCAUAAUGAAUCAGUUAGGAAUACCAUUUAUCAUUUAAUGGCCACCUUUCCAGAGGAGCCAUUGGAGGACAAGACUAGGUGUCAGAGAUUGGCUGAGGAUGAGGCAGCUGCUGAGCAAAAGGUAAGUGUUCUCACUGCCCGGGGAGUUGGUGGAAUCACUGUCCCUGGAGGUGUCCAACAAAAGGGUAGGUUUGGCACUGAGGAACAUGGUAUAGUGGGCACGGUGGGGUGGGCUGGCAGUUGGACUUGAUGAUCGUAGUGAUCUUUUCCAACUUUAAUGAUUCUAUGAUUCUGUGGAUGGACUAAUGACUGUGUUUGGGGAAUAAAAAUUGGUGCUAGGUCUUACUGAAUCAAAACUGGGGGUAAAAGUGAUGAAGAGAAAGGAAGAAAACAGAGGGCUUGAAGAAGGAAGUCAAUGUGCAAGCAGCAAUGAAUGUUAAUAUCUUACAGGAGAGGCCGUGUUUUUGCUGGUGAAAUCAGAAACUUUAGAUUCAGCAGAAGAAGGUGGGCUGAUUUAUGACAGGAAAAUUCUUCUUGUGCAAAAUAACAGCAAGGACUUUCAGCUGAGGUUAGAUUUACAUCGUAUACAAAUAUGUAGCUCAAAAUAAUGCCUAUCUAAGAAUAUCAAGCCAGCAAGCACCCUAGGUUGUGACAGACUGUAAUAAACAAGCCCAGGGACAAGGGCAGCUCCUGCCUACAUCAGCGCUGCCCUUCUUCUCACGGGUCUUGGGGAACGACCAGAGCUCCAAGGAAGCUGCCUGAGGUUGGGUACAUCAAGGACAUGGCAUUAUCUAUUCUUGUCUGUUUGCCCAGAAUCACACUCAUCUUUCAUAAUCAGCAAGACAGAAGCAAAACUGUCUGGCAUAGCACCACAUUUUCAUUUUUCUUCAUUUAAUUGUGCUCCAACCCACAGCAUGGAUCAACAAGCAAACAACAACAUGCAGAAAAGAAACCAAGAGCAGGCCAGGCUGGGGAGAUUUACUUAAAUGUUGAGAGUAGAGCCAGAUCUACCUAACACUGGGACUUGCAAUGGAAGAUCAGGCUGUGAUGGGUUCUUGUAAAAUCUCUGAGAAAAGAGGUCAAAAACCUGAAAUCUGAAAGAACGAAUAUUUCACUUUCACAUAGCAGGACAUAAAAGUCCACAUGGUGAAAUUGAUAACACUCUGAGCCCGCACCACACAUCGCCUCAUCUUUCCUCAUGGCCUCUGCAGCCAGAGAUUUACAAGAACAGAGCAAGGCCAGGUUUCAUAUUUUUCUACCGUGGCAAAGGACUUAUGCGGUUCAACUGAAACAGCUUUCCUGACAUGUAAUUUCUUUACUCUUACAUGUUCCCACCUUCCAUCCCUCCCACCAUCUCUUCCUCCAUCCCCCAGAUCAGACUGUUUCAACAAGCAGCCUGCACAUUUCAAUGCAAACUUAAUUUGUUUUCCCAAAAGGCAUAGAGUCUCUAUUUUUUCCUCUCCUUUUCAUGCAUGCUAUCUACAGCAGUGAUGAUGCUGAACCUGUUUUUUUGAGUGGAGGCUGUUAGUGCCUGCUCAGCUAUUUUCUGAUGAGGCUGACUUUUCACACAUCGGUGAGGUGCUGGGAAGAAACAGUACUCUGUGGUUAAAUUCAUGCAGGGGGCAAGACAGCAGGGAGGAGAAAGAAAGAUGUCUCCUUGUCAUGGAUUCUCCAAAAGCUCCUGUAAUCCUCCAGCAAAAUCCUGUGACAACAGAAACAACACUGCUGUCUGCACAAAGAUGCCAGAGGCAAGACCUCAGUGCCAGUUGUGCACACUUUGUUUGCAAAAGGGAAUGGAGGGAGGCAGAAGAUAUGGCAUGUUUCACCCAAGAAAAGCAGACAGUAAACUGUGGCUGAGUAAUACUCUCAACUUGCUUAUUGCAAUUGUCCUCAAUGAAUACUAGGACACUUGGAAAAACUCUGAAGUAUGAUUGCCCCAUAUUAUAUGUUGACCAGGUGAGGCACACUGCAGUGAACUGAUUUCACCAAUGUUAUGCAGUGGUAGCAAUGCUGGAAAUAGCCAAGACUUUGAAGAAAAACCUCCAACUCAGCAGUGAGCAGGCCUCCUUGUUGAUUCCAACAUAUACAACACAGCUUUGCAAUGCUUUUGCUCACAACAUGACUGUGGCAAAGAGAUACCUUCCUCUUUCCAAAUGCAUACAGACUUAUUACGUUACGGGACUUAUUAAGUUACUUAUUAAGUUACGGGAUGUGGGGCAACCAAGGCAGUAUUACUUAUUUCGCUAGACCCGGAGGGGGGAACCAUUCCUUCAGGCUGAGAAUGAAGAAUUGAGAGAGGGAAGGAGGUGCUCACAUGGCUGAAGAAUCUCAGCUCAAGUAAGAAGAAAAGAAACUGGAGGAUCUGCAAAAAUAAAUAUAUGUUGCCUUUAUCCAAUGCAGUAGAAAAAAUCUCGCCUAUGAAGACAGGCUGAUGGAGCUGGGCUUGUUCAGCCUGGAGAAAAGAAGACUGCAGAGUGACCUAAUUGCAGCCUUUCAGUACCUAAAGAGAGCCUAUAAACAGGAGGGGAGUCAACUCUUUGAAAGGGUAGAUAAUAGCAGGACAAGGGGAAAUGAUUUUAAAUUGAGGGAGAGAAGAUUUAGGUUGGAUAUCAGGGGGAAGUUCUUUACCAGGAGACAGGUGAGGUGCUGGAACAGGCUGCCCAGAGAGGUUGUGGAUGCUCUGUCCCUGAAGGCCAGGAUGGAUGCAGCCCUGGACAGCCUGGUCUAGUAUCAAAUGUGGAGGUUAGUGGCCCUGCCUGUGGCAGGGGAGUUGGAGGUUGGUGAUCCUUGAGGUCCCUUCC
ensembl:lncRNA